AGUGUGAAGCCGUGCCCCCAGCUGUCAGGUCUUAUUAAACGUAAAGAGCUAUGUAAACACCAAGGAAUAAUCAGGGAAAUAUUUCCAAGAAAUAGUGUGUUUUUCCCAAAGACAGUUUAUUUCACUGGAAGCAGAAAUAUUGAUGUAGUUUAAUAAUCAGUUCUUGGAGUACUUUAACUACAUCUACAGACUUCUCCUCAUGAAGGCUUCAGUUCUGUGUUAAUUUAUGGUCUGCUCUUCUGCCAGGAUCCUAUCUGCUUGUAUUAUUAACUUAUAAAUGAAUCGUGCUUGUUAAUUAUUGUAAGUGUAUAUGUCCGAGAGAGAACCGAUUUCUUUUAUAUAUGUAUACAUUUACUUUUGUUGAAAUAUUAAAUGUACAUUUAU
rnacentral:misc_RNA from 1 species